CCUACGGGCGGCAGCAGUGAGGAAUAUUGGUCAAUGGACGAGAGUCUGAACCAGCCAAGUAGCGUGAAGGAUGACUGCCCUAUGGGUUGUAAACUUCUUUUAUAUGGGAAUAAAACGUUCCACGUGUGGGAUUUUGUAUGUACCAUAUGAAUAAGGAUCGGCUAACUCCGUGCCAGCAGCCGCGGUAAUACGGAGGAUCCGAGCGUUAUACGGAUUUAUUGGGUUUAAAGGGAGCGUAGGUGGAUUGUUAAGUCAGUUGUGAAAGUUUGCGGCUCAACCGUAAAAUUGCAGUUGAAACUGGCAGUCUUGAGUACAGUAGAGGUGGGCGGAAUUCGUGGUGUAGCGGUGAAAUGCUUAGAUAUCACGAAGAACUCCGAUUGCGAAGGCAGUUCACUGGACUGCAACUGACACUGAGGCUCGAAAGUGUGGGUAUCAAACAGGAUUAGAUACCCGAGUAGUC
rnacentral:rRNA from 1 species